CCACUUUGGAGCUUAGCCGUUCAUUUCUACAUUCUCCAGAAAGUUCUCCUUUUCCUCUCUACGAUCGUGAUCAUUCAUAUAGGUGUAUCUUGAUCCUGAAUCGAUUCUAACAUGGUAUCAGAGCCAUGGAAAUCACUUAGUUGAAUUUAUACAGUGAUUUCUCUAAACCAUAAUUUCUUCGAUCAGAGAGAAAUUAGGUGUUUUUGUGUCGAAUCUCACUUUAGCAUUUCUUUUCGGAGGUUUUCGUUGGGGAUUUUUCUCUGAUCGUCCGAUUGGCAUUUUCUUUUUGUUAUCUUCUGACUGCGUGGGGUUUUCUUCGAUUUCAUUCGUCGGCAUCGUGAUUAGGGAUUUUGUCUGCUAAAGGACGAUUUUACUUUGGUUUUCAUAAUGUUCUGCUGGUGUUCUAGUGUUUCAAGCUGACGAAUUGAUGAAAGGUUUCGAAGUCUGCUACUACAAUUGUUUUGGUUGAGUUUCCCUGCUUUGAAGACUGGCUUGCACAGGCUCAUUCUUCAUGCUUCACAAGAUCUGGAGAAGCAGAUAGUUAGUACUGCUCUGAAUAUUCAGAAAUUGAAUCUCGUGUCCAAAUUCGGAUGGGAAUCUGAAACUACUUUCCCGAAGGUAUUGCAAACUUGCUCUCAAAGUUGGGCAUAACUAAUUUGAAAACCAGGAAAUUAAAGUCGGGAUCUCUUUCCGCGAUCAAAGUGUAAUUUAUUCCCACUUCCAUCAUUCUUAACCUCAUCUCUUUGUCGAGAGCUUCACAUGUACUUUAAGGUCAACAUAAAUUUAUAGUAUUCUCUAUGCUAAUUUGAUUUCUAUUUAUAGGUUUAUCGACAGUCCUCCCUACGAA